rnacentral:rRNA from 1 species
GAUGAACGCUGGCGGCAUGCCUAAUACAUGCAAGUCGAACGAGAGGAAGGAAAGCUUGCUUUUCUGAAUCUAGUGGCGAACGGGUGAGUAACACGUAGGUAACCUGCCCAUGUGCCCGGGAUAACUUCUGGAAACGGAUGCUGAAACCGGAUAGGUAGCAGACAAGCAUUUGACUGCUAUUAAAGUGGCUAAGGCCAUGAACAUGGAUGGACCUGCGGUGCAUUAGCUAGUUGGUGAGGUAACGGCCCACCAAGGCGACGAUGCAUAGCCGGCGUGAGGGGGCGGACGGCCACAGUGGGACUGAGAGACGGCCCGAACUCCUACGGGAGGCAGCAGUAGAGAAUUUUCGUCAAUGGGGGGAACCCUGAACGAGCAAUGCCGCGUGAGUGAGGAAGGUCUUCGGAUCGUAAAGCUCUGUUGUAAGAGAAAAACGACAUUCAUAGGGAAUGAUGAGUGAGUGAUGGUAUCUUACCAGAAAGUCACGGCUAACUACGUGCCAGCAGCCGCAGUAA